rnacentral:misc_RNA from 1 species
GAUGAAGAACGUAGCGAAAUGCGAUAAGUAGUGUGAAUUGCAGAAUUCAGUGAAUCAUCGAAUCUUUGAACGCACAUUGCGCCCCUUGGUAUCCCGAGGGGCAUGCCUGUUCGAGCGUCAUUUCACCACUCAAGCCUGGCUUGGUGUUGGGCGACGUCCUCUUUGGGGACGCGCCUCGAAACGCUCGGCGGCGUGGCACCGGCUUUAAGCGUAGCAGAAUCUUUCGCUUUGGAAGUCGGGGCCCCGUCUGCCGGAAGACCUGCUCGCAAGGUUGACCUCGGAUCAGGCAGGGAUACCCGCUGAACUUAAGCAUAUCAAUAAGCGGAG